rnacentral:ncRNA from 2 species
UCAUAUCUUCAGGGUGGGGUGCAAUUCCCAAUCGGCGGUUAAAGUCCGCGAGCCGAAAGGCAUGAACCGGUGUGAUUCCGGUACCGACGGUUAUAGUCCGGAUGGAAGAAGAUGAUU